ensembl:lncRNA
AGCUUUCUAAGACCUCUGUUAGCAAGAAGGGUUUGGUGUGCAGGCACCAAUCCUAAUAUUACGGGAGCUCAGAGGUCUUUGAGUGCAGAGCAAAUAGCUUUUAAGAGCAAUGCCAAUUGCUAAAAGGAUCAUAUUACAAUAAUAGAUUUGAAAGCUUAUACUCCAAACAGCAUUGCGAAUGAGAGCUGACAACAGAGAUGAAUUUUGUGAGCUGCUAGGAGCAGAGCAGGACUUGCUUAUUGCACUAAUGAAUGUGGCUUGUGGGAAAGCUGACACCUCAUUGAAAUCAGGCCUCUCAAUCACCCAUGAUUACUGUGGGACUCAGAAGGGAUGCAGAAGCAGCUACACGAUGCUGGAUGAGGAGGGACUUUCCCCAAAACUCUGCACCUGUGGAUACCAGCCAUCAGACACCGCCACUUCACAUGCACCUCCAGCUCUGAGGGUCAGCCGAAGUCAUCCUAGCUUGCAAGAUCCUAUCCUAUAUAAAGGACAAGAAAUAGGUGUGAGACAGGAGGCAGGAAAUGUGUCAUUUCACUAUAACUGUGCAGAAAAUGGUCAGAUGCUGUGGAUAGUCACUGGGGAAGCUGAGGGAGCCAUGCCCCUGAGCAUCCAUUCCAGCACAGCUCUAAAGGAGUCUAUGGCUGAGUUGCUUGGGAGGCAACACACCUAGCACAGAGAUACACACUUCUGCCAAGGAAGUCCUUCAGUCUUAGGAACUCCUAAAGAUCCACCUGACUUGAACAUCUUUUGCCUUUGUGGUGGAACUCAGCUGCAGAUCAUGGCAGGGAUCUUCACCAGCUUGACACAUUCACCAAAAGAAGAACAAUCUGAGCUAAUAAAAGAAGGAAAUGAAUU